rnacentral:rRNA from 1 species
CAAUAGCGUAUGUUAAAGUUGUUGCAGUUAAAAGCUCGUAGUUGUAUCCCCUUGUCUUGGACGGUCAGUGGCUGGCGUGCAAAAGUACGUCAUGGCAUACUACCCCGAGACAGCCGCUCCUUGCGAUUGGGUCGUGUCUGGUCUUGGUUGACUGUGGCGCGAGUACUCGAUUGCUCGUUUACUGUGAGAAAAUUAGAGUGUUCAAAGCAGGCAAGUUUUGCAAUUGAAUAUGUUAGCAUGGGAUAAUAAGAUAAGACUCCUGUUUUAUUUUGUUGGUUUCUAAAACGGAAGUAAUGAUUGAUAGGGAUAGUUGGGGGUGCUUGUAUUUGAUGGCCAGAGGUGAAAUUCAUGGAUUCUUCAAAGACAAACUUAUGCGAAAGCGUUCACCAAGGAUGUCCUCUUUAAUCAAGAACGAAAGUUGGGGGAUCGAAGAUGAUCAGAUACCAU